GGCAUAGGGUUUUUUUCUUUAUUUUAAAUACUCAUUAAUGCCCUUAACAAAAAUCCUAAUCCAAUUAUAGCCUUUUUUUUUUUUAUUCCCACCCCUUUUACUUUCUCUCUCUCAUCGGUGCUCUGGAAAUCGGUUGGGUGAAAGAAGCCGCAAAAGAUAGAACAAAUUCGGAAUAUCGAAGUUUGAAUCCUUCUUGACAAAUUC
rnacentral:lncRNA from 1 species